GAUGAACGCUGGCGGCGUGCCUAAUACAUGCAAGUCGAGCGAACGGACGAGAAGCUUGCUUCUCUGAUGUUAGCGGCGGACGGGUGAGUAACACGUGGAUAACCUACCUAUAAGACUGGGAUAACUUCGGGAAACCGGAGCUAAUACCGGAUAAUAUUUUGAACCGCAUGGUUCAAAAGUGAAAGACGGUCUUGCUGUCACUUAUAGAUGGAUCCGCGCUGCAUUAGCUAGUUGGUAAGGUAACGGCUUACCAAGGCAACGAUGCAUAGCCGACCUGAGAGGGUGAUCGGCCACACUGGAACUGAGACACGGUCCAGACUCCUACGGGAGGCAGCAGUAGGGAAUCUUCCGCAAUGGGCGAAAGCCAGACGGAGCAACGCCGCGUGAAGUGAUGAAGGUCUUCGGAUCGUAAAACUCUGUUAUUAGGGAAGAACAUAUGUGUAAGUAACUGUGCACAUCUUGACGGUACCUAAUCAGAAAGCCACGGCUAACUACGUGCCAGCAGCCGCGGUAAUACGUAGGUGGCAAGCGUUAUCCGGAAUUAUUGGGCGUAAAGCGCGCGUAGGCGGUUUUUUAAGUCUGAUGUGAAAGCCCACGGCUCAACCGUGGAGGGUCAUUGGAAACUGGAAAACUUGAGUGCAGAAGAGGAAAGUGGAAUUCCAUGUGUAGCGGUGAAAUGCGCAGAGAUGUGGAGGAACACCAGUGGCGAAGGCGACUUUCUGGUCUGUAACUGACGCUGAUGUGCGAAAGCGUGGGGAUCAAACAGGAUUAGAUACCCUGGUAGUCCACGCCGUAAACGAUGAGUGCUAAGUGUUAGGGGGUUUCCGCCCCUUAGUGCUGCAGCUAACGCAUUAAGCACUCCGCCUGGGGAGUACGACCGCAAGGUUGAAACUCAAAGGAAUUGACGGGGACCCGCACAAGCGGUGGAGCAUGUGGUUUAAUUCGAAGCAACGCGAAGAACCUUACCAAAUCUUGACAUCCUUUGACAACUCUAGAGAUAGAGCCUUCCCCUUNCGGGGNACAAAGUGACAGGUGGUGCAUGGUUGUCGUCAGCUCGUGUCGUGAGAUGUUGGGUUAAGUCCCGCAACGAGCGCAACCCUUAAGCUUAGUUGCCAUCAUUAAGUUGGGCACUNUAAGUUGACUGCCGGUGACAAACCGGAGGAAGGUGGGGAUGACGUCAAAUCAUCAUGCCCCUUAUGAUUUGGGCUACACACGUGCUACAAUGGACAAUACAAAGGGCAGCGAAACCGCGAGGUCAAGCAAAUCCCAUAAAGUUGUUCUCAGUUCGGAUUGUAGUCUGCAACUCGACUACAUGAAGCUGGAAUCGCUAGUAAUCGUAGAUCAGCAUGCUACGGUGAAUACGUUCCCGGGUCUUGUACACACCGCCCGUCACACCACGAGAGUUUGUAACACCCGAAGCCGGUGGAGUAACCUUUUAGGAGCUAGCCGUCGAAGGUGGGACAAAUGAUUGGGGUGAAGUCGUAACAAGGUAGCCGUAUCGGAAGG
rnacentral:rRNA from 1 species